UACGUAUGUCGCAAGCGUUAUCCGGAUUUAUUGGGCGUAAAGCGCGUCUAGGCGGUUUCGUAAGUCUGAUGUGAAAAUGCGGGGCUCAACCCGGUAUGGCGUUGGAAACUGCUAAACUAGAGUGCAGGAGAGGUAGGCGGAACUACAAGUGUAGCGGUGAAAUGCGUAGAUAUAUGGAGGAAUGCCGAUGGGGAAGCCAGCCUACUGGACAGAUACUGACGCUGAAGCGCGAAAGCGUGGGUAGCAAACAGG
rnacentral:rRNA from 1 species